CUUGAGUAAAUGUAACUUGUCAAGGGUACAAUUGCAGUCUGCAGUGUUGAACAUUGCCAUGUCCCCCACACACUGUAAGUAUUCUUCACUGAAAUUGUAAGUGCGUUUGUCUGCAGAACGAGCAGUAGCCCUCAAAGAGCUGACAGAUUUUGCCAGAUCAUAUUCUGGUGAUCACAUUUGAGGACAAACCGCAGUGUAAUACUGCCCGCAAGGAAAUGCUGAGUUCUGCAGUUACACACUGAACCCUGCAUCAGUAUCUAGUUCUCAGGCAGGUUAUCAUCUGUCAGACUGCAGGUGACAGGAAUGAGUGAUAUUUGCAAAACCCAAGUCCAAUAAGGCUGAAUUAUGUGAUCUGGGAUGGCUUGAGAAUGAAAGAAAAGCCAGGUCUGUUUCAGCAAUCUCUGCUUUGCCAGGACUGCAUGCUAAGUCCUACACCAUGCAUACUAAGUAUGUAUACAACCACAUGUAAGUAGCUGUCCAUAACCACUGGGGAUAUCCCAAGCAUCAGUCUCUGCUGGCAGUUCAAUAAAUGCAGCAUUGCCACAGCGGGUAGCAGGGCACCAGCUUUGCUCCGGCCCUGCAUGGUCUCAGGAUGUGCCAGGCUGGUGUUGUCUGAACUUCUCUUUGCCUGCCUGGAGCUUUGUUCUAGCUUGUUUGGCUGUUGCAAGUUCUCUCAUGACCAAUCGGCUGUUGCCUCACUUGUUCUCCCUUUGUUUCUGUAUAGUUUUAUAUAAUAACAACAGUUUUCUUCUUUUUUUCUGUAAUAAAUAGAGACUAAACAUUCUUUGAUCACACAGGUAAGACUUCAAGUAUACCAACAAUGAACUCGCCUUUGCUUACCAAGCGUGUUUAUUUCUGCCUUCAAUAAGGCAGGUGGGAUGUUUGUGCUUUACUCUCUGCUGUGGCAAUGGGCAGCACUAAGCAAGUGCCCACAGUUCUGCAGGGCAGGGUUCCAAGAUGUUAUGUGCUGUGGGAUGAAGAUGGGGCUUAUGAAAGCAGAAGGUACCAGAGCGGGUUUUGGUGGGCAGGGUAAGGAAACAUGGAUGUGUGAUCUCAGAGGGAACUGAAUGUUUCAGUGCUCGGUGUUCACAGCAAUCUGUGCUUCCCCAGCUGUGGUAUCCUGCUGCCCCUGGGUUAAGUAAGGGUGUGUUGUCACAACAGUCGCUGUGUCCAGCAACUGGCUUGGGUUUCCUUCUAAAAAUAGAGCCGAGGUUGGAUGUAGUGUGGGUGGCAGCAUCGGGAAUGCGUCAGCAAAGAUAGCAAAGCACAUCUGGGGAAGGUGCCAUGUAAGCACAGCAAGUCUAUUCUUAUCUGAUUGGUACCCUCCUCUGACAUGCUUUUCCCAUUAUCGCCUCUCCUGUUCUUUCCCUUCAUAGAAGGUUGUGACGUGUUCAGCUUACUUGAACCAGGUCCAGCCCCUCAUGCAUGAGGUGCCUAACAAACCAGUCCUGCUCCUUCUCCUCUGUUCUUUGAGCUCCCCAACCUCAUCCAGAAGAUGGAUAUGCCUCAUGGGUUGGGUUGCAGAAUAGCUCAGAGAUUUUCUUGAAUGAAGAAGAUGCUUAAUCCAUCAGGACAAAAACUGCUGACACCAACUGAAGCUGCCUUGACUUCACAGAUGAUGACUGGCCCAAGCAAGUACAGAGGGAAGCCGUGGGACAGAGUUCCCAAAACACUGGGGCUUUCUAAGUUCUCCUGCUGACGCUGAAUGAGAGAAUUAACAAUUGAGAAGUAACAGCAGCAUUUGACUGAGGGCUCAACUGAUACACCAUAGACCUGCAGUUGAACUACAGGGUUAAGCAGAAGCCACUAUUGUUUUACCAGAGCUACUUUUAGUCUCAGUGGUGUAAUGGGAAGAGUCUUUUGCCUUAGAAAAGGCUGCUCACUAAAUUCAGCUCCUGCUGGUUUCUCUAGGGACAGUUUCUGUAUAGCAGGUGUUGCUCAGUGAGGAACCGAGGAGCGCUUUGCUUUGGCUCGGAAGAGAACAGCAGAGCAGAAAGCAAGAUUUCUGUAUUUCAUAUAAUUAGUGUUGUCUUCUCUGCUUUGCCAUAGGGAAGUCCAUGACCUUCACCAUCAUUCAGCUCUCUUAAUGGCACUCGUAACUGUAUGCUAGAACGCCAUGACUGAAAACAGAGGAAUUUAGAGUAAGGAAGAGAAAGAACAGGCCAUGAGGAGUAUAUGCUAUUCCUACCAGCUGCAGAAGGGAGGUCCCCAGCUGCUUUUGAUGCCCUGUCUCCUGUAGAUUCCAGCUCUGCCUCCAUGAGAGUCUCUACAGCAUUGCCUGGGAGGUGCAGAAAGUCCUCAGUGACUUUUGGUAUCUUCCGGAAUCUCAUCCUGCUGCUGUUUUCCUUAGGAGUUUUUUGGGGUCACUGCAGUAGCUCUUUCUGUGCACACGCUGCACAGCACCUCUAACCUUCUGAAUGACACCACUGGAGGACAAACUACUUCUGCUUUCAAGCUAUUUUGUUGUUUGCUUUGUUUCAUUAAAUAAGUGCCAUGAUUGAUGUAUUUAAUCGUUAUUUUGGUUUGAGGAGGAGCACCUUUUGAAGGUAUUAAUUUUCUUGGGUUUCAAGGCAGUGCAUAUGAAUAGAGGACCAGCACUUAAGAGGCUGUUUAUUCAGUGGAUGCACCACAAUGAGUGCAAAGUACUGUCUUUCCCAAUAAUCUCUCCAUGAGAAGUGCAAGGAAUGAAGCAGGUAUGUUUUAAUCCCUUCAUGCCUCCAUAUGCUUUAAUUUCCAAGUGCUUUAGAGCCUUCUGAAUGAAAAGUUGCAUUGUCAGGCAUGAGCAGUCCUUGCAUGCAUCUGAUCCUUUUUUAACCUGCUGUACCUUUCACAAUCUCCUGUAGCAAUGAGGUUCACCAUAUAAUGACAUGUACAGUGAGUAAUCCCUUUGUUUUAAACCUGCUGCCUGAUAUUUUAUUAAGCAGCACGGCUAGGAACAGCAAUAGCUCCUCCAUUUGGUUUGGGGUCGGGGGGGCUGAUAACCAGGUUGUCAGGUCCUCUUCUGUUGCAAAAUACUAUGUAGCCCAUAGAGUUCACAUUCUCUUGGCCCUUAUGAGCAUGUAGAGAUUAUUUUACAGGUUAGCUAUAGAAGAAUCAUAGAAUCAUAGAAAUUGGGUCUGUGGAAAAGUCAUCAUAUAGUACCAGUGCUGACUGUGAUCAUCUGCUUAAUGGGCUGAUUGACUUUAGGACCUUUCUCUUGCAAUGUCUUUUCCUUAAUAGAUACACUGAGUUACACACUGUGUUUUUUCACUGUUGUAAAAGAAUACAGGCUUAGAUCAGCCGAACCUAUACUCAACAAUUUGCUUUGGCAGAACCAUAACACCAGACAAAUCUAAAUGCCCUGUUCUUACACCUGAACUGUGUAGUUACUGAGGAGAUUUAUGAAGCUUCUUCAGCUGGUUACUUGUACUUCAGUCAUCAGGAUACAGGGAUAAGGAAGUUUUAAUUUCAUCACUACUCAAAGGCAGUCCCUUGAUGCAUGAGUCAGCUUUGAGAAGGGCUAAAUUACAGGGUGAUGAGAGAAGCAUUGGCAUCACUUAAUCCCAAACAUUUAAUCUUGAAAGGUUUUGAUUUAGUUUUUAUUAAGCUUAAGAUCUGCAGAGCAAUUUUGAGGUGGUUCUAUUGUGAUUGAUUGAUUCAUUCAUUCAUUCAUUCACUGAAAACCACAGCAGAAUUACUAUUCUAAAUUACUGCUAAUUUUGCACAAAUAUAUGAGUGUUGUAAGUGGA